UUAAGGAUAAAGAGCAUUGUUCCAAAAGACAUCUUUUUAAGAACUAGGAAGAGUGGGAAGAAUAUUAGCCUCCUCCAAGUCAAUAAUAAGGAUUCUUAUUAGAGGAUUCUGAUGAGGCCACUUACACAUGUAUAGAAAGACAGGGCCAGGUGUGGUGGCUUACGCCUGUAAUCCCAGCACUUUGGGAGGCCGAGGCAGGCAGAUUACUUGAGGUCAGGAGUUCAAGGCCAGCCUAGUCAACAUGGUGAAAUCCCAUCUCUACUAAAAAUACAAAAAGUAGCCGGGCAUGGUGGCAGGCACCUAUAAUCCCAGUUACCAGGGAGGCUGAGGCAGGAAAAUUGCUGGAACCCAGGAGACGGAGGUUGCAGUGAAGCCAAUGUACUCCAGCCUGGGCAACAAGAACAAAACUCCGUCUCAAAAAACAAAAAGAAAGACAAAAAUCAAGGAUCUACAACAUAUGGAAGAAGAAGGGGUUCCCUGAAGAUACAUCUGGUAAUUUCACUAUGUUUUGCAGGCCAAGACUUAAUAGUGAAAAUAAUUCAACUUUUCAGCUUAAAAACAAAAAACAAAAAAACAAUUUUCUCCUAAACAUGUAACUAUUGAAAAAUCUAAGAUACAGGGAAUCAGAAGCAAUGUAUGAGAGAAGGCAUAUGUUUGGUUAAUGUGUUUCAUUAUAUGUUAAAUGUAGUUCCCCAC
rnacentral:lncRNA from 1 species